rnacentral:rRNA from 1 species
GACAGAGGGUGCAAACGUUGUUCGGAAUUACUGGGCGUAAAGCGUGUGUAGGCGGCUAUGUAAGUCGGAUGUGAAAGCCCCGGGCUCAACCCGGGAAGUGCACUCGAUACUGCGUAGCUUGAGUACUGGAGAGGUUGGUGGAAUUCUCGGUGUAGAGGUGAAAUUCGUAGAUAUCGAGAGGAACACCGGUGGCGAAGGCGACCAACUGGACAGAUACUGACGCUGAGACACGAAAGCGUGGGGAGCAAACAGG